CACCUGAUAGCACAUGGUGUGCACCUGCCUUUCUUAGAGGUGUACUUUGCAACAUGUGGGCAGGAGGUCCCUGUUCAAUUCGGGGUCAGGUGC